rnacentral:rRNA from 1 species
AUACGUAGGGUGCAAGCGUUAAUCGGAAUUACUGGGCGUAAAGCGUGCGCAGGCGGUUUUGUAAGACAGAGGUGAAAUCCCCGGGCUCAACCUGGGAACUGCCUUUGUGACUGCAAGGCUAGAGUACGGCAGAGGGGGCUGGAAUUCCGCGUGUAGCAGUGAAAUGCGUAGAUAUGCGGAGGAACACCGAGGGCGAAGGCAAUCCCCUGGGCCUGUACUGACGCUCAUGCACGAAAGCGUGGGGAGCAAACAGGAUUAGAUACCCUGGUAGUCCACGCCCUAAACGAUGACAACUGGUUGUUGGGGCUUCAUUGACUCAGUAACGAAGCUAACGCGUGAAGUUGACCGCCUGGGGAGUACGGCCGCAAGGUUGAAACUCAAAUGAAUUGACGGG